rnacentral:rRNA from 1 species
AACGAACGCUGGCGGCAUGCCUAACACAUGCAAGUCGAACGAGACCUUCGGGUCUUGUGGCGCACGGGUGCGUACCGCGUGGGAACCUGCCCUUAGGUUCGGAAUAACUCCCCGAAAGGGGUGCUAAUACCGGAUAAUGUCUUCGGACCAAAGAUUUAUCGCCUUUGGAUGGGCCCGCGUUGGAUUAGCUAGUUGGUAGGGUAAAAGCCUACCAAGGCGACGAUCCAUAGCUGGUCUGAGAGGAUGAUCAGCCACACUGGGACUGAGACACGGCCCAGACUCCUACGGGAGGCAGCAGUGGGGAAUAUUGGACAAUGGGCGAAAGCCUAAUCCAGCAAUGCCGCGUGAGUGAUGAAGGCCUUAGGGUUGUAAAGCUCUUUUACCCGGGAUGAUAAUGACAGUACCGGGAGAAUAAGCUCCGGCUAACUCCGUG